UACGUAGGGUGCAAGCGUUGUCCGGAAUUAUUGGGCGUAAAGAGCUCGUAGGCGGUCUGUCGCGUCGGCUGUGAAAUCCCGAGGCUCAGCCUCGGGUCUGCAGUCGAUACGGGCAAACUAGAGUAUUGCAGGGGAGACUGGAAUUCCUGGUGUAGCGGUGAAAUGCGCAGAUAUCAGGAGGAACACCGGUGGCGAAGGCGGGUCUCUGGGCCAUUACUGACGCUGAGGAGCGAAAGCGUGGGGAGCGAACAGG
rnacentral:rRNA from 1 species